UACGUAGGGGGCAAGCGUUGUCCGGAAUCAUUGGGCGUAAAGAGCGUGUAGGCGGCCCGAUAAGUCCGCUGUGAAAGUCCAGGGCUCAACCCUGGAAUGCCGGUGGAUACUGUCGGGCUCGAAUCCGGAAGAGGUGAGUGGAAUUCCUGGUGUAGCGGUGAAAUGCGCAGAUAUCAGGAGGAACACCAAUGGCGAAGGCAGCUCACUGGGACGGUAUUGACGCUGAGACGCGAAAGCGUGGGGAGCGAACAGG
rnacentral:rRNA from 1 species